rnacentral:rRNA from 1 species
GACGUAGGGCGCAAGCGUUGUCCGGAUUUAUUGGGCGUAAAGAGCUCGUAGGUGGUUUGUCGCGUUGUCCGUGAAAACUCACAACUCAAUUGUGGGCGUGCGGGCGAUACGGGCAGACUGGAGUACUGCAGGGGAGACUGGAAUUCCUGGUGUAGCGGUGGAAUGCGCAGAUAUCAGGAGGAACACCGGUGGCGAAGGCGGGUCUCUGGGCAGUAACUGACGCUGAGGAGCGAAAGCGUGGGGAGCGAACAGG